rnacentral:rRNA from 1 species
GAUGAACGCUGGCGGCGUGCCUAAUACAUGCAAGUCGAGCGAAGCGGGGACGGGUGAGUAACACGUGGAUAACUUCCUAUAAGACUGGGAUAACUUCGGGAAACCGGAACUCAACCCGAUACUUAUAGAUGGAGCCGCGCUGCAUUAGCUAGUUGGUAGGGUAACGGCUUACCAAGGCAACGAUGUAUAGACGACCUGAGAGGGUGAUCGGCCACACUGGAACUGAGAAAAGGUCCAGAUUCCAACGGGAGGCAGACGUAGGGAAUCUGCCGAAAUGGGGGAAAGCCUGACGGAGCAACGCCGCGUGAGUGAGGAAGGUCUUCGGAUCGUAAAACGCUGGUAUUAGGGAAGCGGUACCUAAUCAGAAAGCCACGGCUAACUACGUGCCAGCAGCCGCGGUAAUAC